rnacentral:rRNA from 1 species
GAUGAACGCUGGCGGCGUGCCUAAUACAUGCAAGUCGAGCGAACAGACGAGGAGCUUGCUCCUUUGACGUUAGCGGCGGACGGGUGAGUAACACGUGUAUAACCUACCUAUAAGACUGGGAUAACUUCGGGAAACCGGAGCUAAUACCGGAUAAUAUAUUGAACCGCAUGGUUCAAUAGUGAAAGACGGCGUUUCUGUCACUUAUAGAUGGAUCUGCGCCGUAUUAGCUAGUUGGUAAGGUAACGGCUUACCAAGGGAACGAUGCGUAGCCGACGUGAGAGGGUGAUAGGCCACAUUGGAAGUGAGCCACGGUCAAGACUCCUAAGGGAGGCAGCAGUAGGGUAUCGUACGCAAUGGGCGAAAGCAUGACGGAGUAACGGCGCGUGAGUGAUGAAGGUCUUCGGAUCGUAAAACCCUGUUACGAGGGAAGAACAAAUGUGUAAGUAAAUGUGCACGUCUUGACGGUAACUAAUAAGAAAGCAACGGCUAACUACGUG